rnacentral:lncRNA from 1 species
UUUGAUCAACCAUCUUUACUGCAGAGACUUAACUCAAAGUUUUGCACAUAGACACCAUUGACACACAUGGUUCAGAACUAAAUAGUUAUUAAGGCCGCUUUAAUUUCAACAGAGAUAGUAACAGUAGCUUCCACCGAUGUAGCAAGGACCACUUCACAAAUACCAGCAGGAUCUGUCUGUAGAGACCGCUGUACCUAGUCUUUGUUCUACAAGUAGGAAGCUAGUACCCAAAGACAAAUCAUUUUCCCCAGGUCACUGAGUUAGAAAUCAAGUUGAGAUUAAAUGAUAAUUCAUUCUCAUACAUCCUCCUCUUUAUAAAGGAAACACAUUAAAUCAUGUGUGGGAAUUAUAUAUGGUAUGGCCACUGAGAAAAAAAAUUAACCUCUGAGGUGUGUUUUAACUCUCUACAUGUCAGAUUUGUCUUUUCAAUUACAAUAAUGAGACACUCUUGAGAAAACCAUUGUUACUAUAACUGUACAGUCUUAAGGGCCAUCGAAUAGAUCAGUUUUCUACCUGCAUAUGUUGGUAAUUAUAAAAUAUAUACAUGGAAAAACAUAUAGUACAUAGAAACCAAAUGCAAAUAAGAUACUUUUAGACUUUAGAAAUUCUUUAAGCAUGUUAUAUUAACCCUAUUAAAAAUGGCUUUUCUAUAUACAAUACAUAAUCUUUAAAAAUCUAUCCCGAGAAACGAAACUCUUUGGUUCAGCAAAGGACUCUAAAUGUGUAAAUAUAAUUUCUUAAGGAUGCACUUUCUUAUUCUGGGCUUUGCUUCUCUGGCUUCAGUCUUCAUGAGACAGACAGCUGACUUUCUCUAAAGAAUGGAGAUGUGUCUGUGGAAUGGACGGUUUUCUUUUCACAUAGAAUAUAUCAUAUGAAAAUACAACCAGAAGCGUGAAUGAUACAUGAAUCAGGAUACUGUCUCUCCUCUUCCAGACGAGAAAUAUACAGGGACAUCUGCCAUCAGUUUGGAAGGAAAGGGAGAAGUGGGACACCUACAAACACCAGGAAAGCUUUCAGGGACAGGAGUCCAGUGCACUGGAAGCUUUUCUCUCACUUCCAGAUUGGAAGAUCGCCAAGAGGCAACAGGACAAGGCCAGCUUCUGGGCGUUCAUUUUCCUUCUAAAAUCCCAUCACACCCUCAGUAUCCUGGGUUCUCUCUAUAUACAAGACUUGAUUGCCUCCUUCAAGCA